GGAUGUUAGUAAAACAAAUACAUAGCCUUGUCAAGACUAAGUUGCAAGUGAAAAUCCUGCACAUCC
rnacentral:tRNA from 1 species